UACGGGGGGGGGCAAGCGUUGUUCGGAAUUACUGGGCGUAAAGGGCGCGUAGGCGGUUUGCUAAGUUGAAUGUGAAAACUCUGGGCUUAACCCAGAGCCUGCAUUCAAUACUGGCAGGCUAGAGUUCUGGAGGGGAUAGCGGAAUUCCUGGUGUAGCGGUGAAAUGCGUAGAUAUCAGGAGGAACACCGGUGGCGAAGGCAGCUAUCUGGACAGAGUCUGACGCUGAGGCGCGAAAGCUAGGGGAGCAAACAGG
rnacentral:rRNA from 1 species